GACGAACGCUGGCGGCGUGCUUAACACAUGCAAGUCGAACGGAAAGGCCCUGCUUUUGUGGGGUGCUCGAGUGGCGAACGGGUGAGUAACACGUGAGUAACCUGCCCUUGACUUUGGGAUAACUUCAGGAAACUGGGGCUAAUACCGGAUAGGAGCUCCUGCUGCAUGGUGUGGGUUGGAAAGUUUCGGCGGUUGGGGAUGGACUCGCGGCUUAUCAGCUUGUUUGUGGGGUAGUGGCUUACCAAGGGUUUGACGGGUAGCCGGCCUGAGAGGGUGACCGGCCAAAUGGGGAAUGAGAUACGGCCCAGAAUCCAACGGGAGGAAGCAGUGGGGAAUAUUGCAAAAUGGGAGGAAGCCUGAUGCAGCAACGCAGCGUGAGGGAUGACGGCCUUCGGGUUGUAAACAGCUUUCGCCUGUGACGAAGCGUGAGUGACGGUAAUGGGUAAAGAAGCACCGGCUAACUACGUG
rnacentral:rRNA from 1 species